rnacentral:rRNA from 1 species
UUUUCCCUACGGGGGGCAGCAGUGGGGAAUAUUGCACAAUGGGGGAAACCCUGAUGCAGCGACGCCGCGUGAGCGAUGAAGUAUUUCGGUAUGUAAGGCUCUAUCAGCAGGGAAGAAAAUGACGGUACCUGACUAAGAAGCCCCGGCUAACUACGUGCCAGCAGCCGCGGUAAUACGUAGGGGGCAAGCGUUAUCCGGAUUUACUGGGUGUAAAGGGAGCGUAGACGGCGGCGCAAGCCAGAUGUGAAAGCCCGGGGCUCAACCCCGGGACUGCAUUUGGAACUGUGCCGCUAGAGUGUCGGAGG